CAGCAGUCGCCACGGGAAUACGGAGGGUGCAAGCGUUAAUCGGAAUUACUGGGCGUAAAGCGCACGCAGGCGGUCUGUCAAGUCAGAUGUGAAAUCCCCGGGCUUAACCUGGGAACUGCAUUUGAAACUGGCAGGCUAGAGUCUUGUAGAGGGGGGUAGAAUUCCAGGUGUAGCGGUGAAAUGCGUAGAGAUCUGGAGGAAUACCGGUGGCGAAGGCGGCCCCCUGGACAAAGACUGACGCUCAGGUGCGAAAGCGUGGGGAGCAAACAGGAUUAGAUACCCCAGUAGUCCCUGUCUCUUAUAC
rnacentral:rRNA from 1 species